rnacentral:tRNA from 1 species
GGAGAGGUGGCCGAGGGUUUUAAGGCGCACGCUUGGAAAGCGUGUGUAGGUUUACCCCUACCGAGGGUUCGAAUCCCUCCCUCUCCGCCA